rnacentral:misc_RNA from 1 species
GAUGAAGAACGUAGCGAAAUGCGAUAAGUAAUGUGAAUUGCAGAAUUCAGUGAAUCAUCGAAUCUUUGAACGCAUCUUGCGCUCCUUGGUAUUCUGAGGAGCAUGCCUGUUUGAGUGUCAUUAAAUUCUCAACCGCACUGACUUUGAAUUGGUGUGGCUUGGAUUUGGGGGGAAAAUUGUUGUGGGCUUUUUUGUAUAGUCCGCUCCCCUGAAAUUGAUUAGCGGUACCUUUGUGGAACUGUCUACAGGUGUGAUAAUUAUCUACAUCCUAGACAUCUGCUGGAAUGCUGCUUUCUAAACCUUACUUGUAUUGACAAUCUUGACCUCAAAUCAGGUAGGACUACCCGCUGAACUUAAGCAUAUCAAUAAGCGGAGGA